rnacentral:rRNA from 1 species
GUGGGGAAUUUUGGACAAUGGGCGCAAGCCUGAUCCAGCAAUGCCGCGUGCAGGAAGAAGGCCUUCGGGUUGUAAACUGCUUUUGUACGGAACGAAACGGCUCUGGUUAAUACCCGGGGCUAAUGACGGUACCGUAAGAAUAAGCACCGGCUAACUACGUGCCAGCAGCCGCGGUAAUACGUAGGGUGCAAGCGUUAAUCGGAAUUACUGGGCGUAAAGCGUGCGCAGGCGGUUUUGUAAGACAGGCGUGAAAUCCCCGGGCUCAACCUGGGAAUUGCGCUUGUGACUGCAAGGCUGGAGUGCGGCAGAGGGGGAUGGAAUUCCGCGUGUAGCAGUGAAAUGCGUAGAUAUGCGGAGGAACACCGAUGGCGAAGGCAAUCCCCUGGGCCUGCACUGACGCUCAUGCACGAAAGCGUGGGGAGCAAACAGGAUUAGAUACCCUAGUAGUCC